rnacentral:rRNA from 1 species
CGUCCAGACUCCUACGGGAGGCAGCAGUGAGGAAUAUUGGUCAAUGGCCGGAAGGCUGAACCAGCCAAGUCGCGUGAGGGAAUAAGGCCCUAUGGGUCGUAAACCUCUUUUGUCAGGGAGCAAAGGCGUCCACGUGUGGACGAGAGGAGAGUACCUGAAGAAAAAGCAUCGGCUAACUCCGUGCCAGCAGCCGCGGUAAUACGGAGGAUGCGAGCGUUAUCCGGAUUUAUUGGGUUUAAAGGGUGCGUAGGCGGAAUAUCAAGUCAGCGGUAAAAAUUCGGGGCUCAACCCCGUCGUGCCGUUGAAACUGAUGUUCUUGAGUGGGCGAGAAGUAUGCGGAAUGCGUGGUGUAGCGGUGAAAUGCAUAGAUAUCACGCAGAACUCCGAUUGCGAAGGCAGCGUACCGGCGCCCAACUGACGCUGAAGCACGAAAGCGUGGGUAUCGAACAGGAUUAGAUACCCGGGUAGA